AUUGAACGCUGGCGGCAGGCCUAACACAUGCAAGUCGAGCGGAUGAAGGGAGCUUGCUCCUGGAUUCAGCGGCGGACGGGUGAGUAAUGCCUAGGAAUCUGCCUGGUAGUGGGGGAUAACGUCCGGAAACGGGCGCUAAUACCGCAUACGUCCUGAGGGAGAAAGUGGGGGAUCUUCGGACCUCACGCUAUCAGAUGAGCCUAGGUCGGAUUAGCUAGUUGGUGGGGUAAAGGCCUACCAAGGCGACGAUCCGUAACUGGUCUGAGAGGAUGAUCAGUCACACUGAGACUGAGACACGGUCCAGACUCCUACGGGAGGCAGCAGUGGGGAAUAUUGGACAAUGGGCGAAAGCCUGAUCCAGCCAUGCCGCGUGUGUGAAGAAGGUCUUCGGAUUGUAAAGCACUUUAAGUUGGGAGGAAGGGCAGUAAGUUAAUACCUUGCUGUUUUGACGUUACCAACAGAAUAAGCACCGGCUAACUUCGUG
rnacentral:rRNA from 1 species